rfam:Nestor notabilis contig58536, whole genome shotgun sequence.
UUUUGAUUUUCCAUUAUUAAAGAACGAAAAAAAGAGCAUAUUUUCGAAUGGUGUUCUGCACAAUCAGUGAUGUAUCUGUGCUUGAUGCCACUAUUCUUUGCAAAAUGUGAUGAUAAUAAUGUUAUCUGUUAACAUAAAAACAAAGUUUGACUUCACAGAAGCAGCUGGAAAUGGAUAACCACAAUAUGCUUAAAUCUCUUAGGAACACACUGUUUGACAUAUUCUGUUAAAAGUUCCUCAUAUUUAGGAAUUCUUUUAAGCAAAGUGCUUGUGCUGAGUCUCAGCUGGUGUGCAUAGAGGAAUAUUCAUUUCCCAGUGGUAAUAUGGAAUUCGAC